rnacentral:lncRNA from 1 species
AAUAUCAGUAGUGCAGCAGUAAUAGCACAAGCACAGCAACAGAUUCAGCAACAGCAAUACAAUCAGUGAAGCCAAUAGCCAAUAUCCCAGUAGCAAGUUGAAGAACCAAUCAGUGAAUAUAAUAACACCCAACACAAAUUCCAGAGACCAAACAGCAACACCAAAUGAACUCCAGCAGCAUCAGAAAACAAAUAUCAAACAGAAAACCCAAAACUCCCACACUAAAAAUCCAAUAACACUCCAGAUGCACUCACAGUUAAAGUGAAAGUGAGACAGGUGCAACGAAGGUAGUAUUUCUUCUUGUGAACACUCCAAUAAAACAAACAAACUGAAACUUGAAAGAAGGCUCAGCCAAACGCUCUAUGAAACUCUAGACCUUUUUCCCUAAAAAU